rnacentral:misc_RNA from 1 species
UCGUAACAAGGUCUCCGUUGGUGAACCAGCGGAGGGAUCAUUACCGAGUUUACAACUCCCAAACCCCUGUGAACAUACCACUUGUUGCCUCGGCGGAUCAGCCCGCUCCCGGUAAAACGGGACGGCCCGCCAGAGGACCCCUAAACUCUGUUUCUAUAUGUAACUUCUGAGUAAAACCAUAAAUAAAUCAAAACUUUCAACAACGGAUCUCUUGGUUCUGGCAUCGAUGAAGAACGCAGCAAAAUGCGAUAAGUAAUGUGAAUUGCAGAAUUCAGUGAAUCAUCGAAUCUUUGAACGCACAUUGCGCCCGCCAGUAUUCUGGCGGGCAUGCCUGUUCGAGCGUCAUUUCAACCCUCAAGCACAGCUUGGUGUUGGGACUCGCGUUAAUUCGCGUUCCCCAAAUUGAUUGGCGGUCACGUCGAGCUUCCAUAGCGUAGUAGUAAAACCCUCGUUACUGGUAAUCGUCGCGGCCACGCCGUUAAACCCCAACUUCUGAAUGUUGACCUCGGAUCAGGUAGGAAUACCCGCUGAACCUAAGCAUAUCU